GGGUUAGGAGCAGGGUUAGGGUUGAAUUAGGAGUAGGGUUAGGGUAGUGUUAGGGGUAGGUUAUGGUUAGGGCUAGAGGUACCCCUACUCUAACUCUACCCUUAACCCUACCCCUAAACCUACUCCUAGUGCAACCCUAACCCUAACCUUACCCCUAACCCUACUCCUUACCCUACUCCUAACCCUACCCCUACCC